rnacentral:rRNA from 1 species
UACGAAGGGGGCUAGCGUUGCUCGGAAUUACUGGGCGUAAAGCGCACGUAGGCGGCUAUUCAAGUCGGGGGUGAAAGCCCGGGGCUCAACCCCGGAACUGCCCUCGAAACUAGAUAGCUAGAAUCUUGGAGAGGCGAGUGGAAUUCCGAGUGUAGAGGUGAAAUUCGUAGAUAUUCGGAAGAACACCAGUGGCGAAGGCGACUCGCUGGACAAGUAUUGACGCUGAGGUGCGAAAGCGUGGGGAGCAAACAGG